rnacentral:rRNA from 1 species
AGUGAACGCUGGCGGUAGGCCUAACACAUGCAAGUCGAACGGCAGCACAGUAAGAGCUUGCUCUUACGGGUGGCGAGUAGCGGACGGGUGAGGAAUACAUCGGAAUCUACUUUUUCGUGGGGGAUAACGUAGGGAAACUUACGCUAAUACCGCAUACGACCUACGGGUGAAAGCGGGGGAUCUUCGGACCUUGCGCGAUUGAAUGAGCCGAUGUCGGAUUAGCUAGUUGGCGGGGUAAAGGCCCACCAAGGCGACGAUCCGUAGCUGGUCUGAGAGGAUGAUCAGCCACACUGGAACUGAGACACGGUCCAGACUCCUACGGGAGGCAGCAGUGGGGAAUAUUGGACAAUGGGCGCAAGCCUGAUCCAGCCAUACCGCGUGGGUGAAGAAGGCCUUCGGGUUGUAAAGCCCUUUUGUUGGGAAAGAAAAGCAGCAGGUUAAUACCCCGCUGUUCUGACGGUACCCAAAGAAUAAGCACCGGCUAACUUCGUG